rnacentral:miRNA from 1 species
CCAAAUAGUUGGGAUCGUGGA